AUUUUGAAAUUAAUUUUAUGCUUAGAUAAUUGGGUUUUGGAUUACAACAUUUAAAUCAAUAGUCAUUUGGCAGGAAGUGGCUACUUACUGAUUAGAAUCUGAUGUGUCUGAUUGUGAAAUGGUAGCCUAAUCGAGAAGAUGAAUAUGCUAGAAUUGAGGCAGCUGGAGGUUAGGGUGCAGAUGAAGAUAACUCCAUUAAAGCCAAGCCAACAUCCUCUAGGUUUGGAUUUCUUCUCAGAGAUGGAGCCGGCUAGGGUGCACUGGGUCGUGCUUCACCUUCAAUGUUCUCUAGUGGAUUGCUCCCAAGCCUAUGCAUGAGGUUUUGCUUGAGGGUGCUUUGCAACAUCAAACUGUGGAGGUUCAUUGGAAGAUAAUGGGGAUGUUGCUGCUGCUGCUUCUGCUUCGGCUUCUGGGAGCAGCUAUACAAUUAUUGUUUAUCUGAUUCAUGGGAGGCAGAUAGUAUACAAUUAUUGUUUGAUUGGUGGUUCAUGGUGGGGAUCUUGAUGGUACAAGCUUCUGAUACUUUUGUAUCCUACUUUUGUGUAGGUGGUACAAGCUGACUCAAAAGACUAAUGAGAACAAAAAGUCUAUCAAGCCAGAUUUGGAAGUGCAAGUUGUACCAAUCAGAAAUCCGUAUGGCCCUUCCAUUGUAGAUGAAAAUUUGGAGGUUGUGAUUGUAAGGUUUGGAGUAAAGGCCAUCUUUGUAUUUGGUGUGAAGUGUCUAUUAGAUUUUAUAUAUCUAUAGAAGCUUACAGAAAGAAACGUGUGAGUUGGGACAAAAUAUUUCAUUCCUAUUGGCUAUUUUUCUGUUCUUGAUUUC